rnacentral:rRNA from 1 species
CCUACGGGUGGCAGCAGUGGGGAAUAUUGCACAAUGGGCGCAAGCCUGAUGCAGCCAUGCCGCGUGUAUGAAGAAGGCCUUCGGGUUGUAAAGUACUUUCAGUCGUGAGGAAGGUGUUAAGGUUAAUAACCUUAGCAAUUGACGUUACCGACAGAAUAAGCACCGGCUAACUCUGUGCCAGCAGCCGCGGUAAUACAGAGGGUGCAAGCGUUAAUCGGAAUUACUGGGCGUAAAGCGCGCGUAGGUGGUUUGUUAAGUUGGAUGUGAAAUCCGCGUGGUUAACCUGGGAAUGGCAAUCAAGACUAGUUAGCUAGAGUAGUGUAGAGGGGGGUAGAGUUCCAUGUGUAGCGGUGAAAUGCGUAGAGAUGUGGAGGAAUACCGGUGGCGAAGGCGGACCCCUGGACAAAGACUGACGCUCAUGUGCGAAAGAGUGGGGAGCAAACAGGAUUAGAUACCCAGGUAGUC